rnacentral:rRNA from 1 species
CGGACGGGUGAGUAAUGUCUGGGAAACUGCCUGAUGGAGGGGGAUAACUACUGGAAACGGUAGCUAAUACCGCAUAACGUCGCAAGACCAAAGAGGGGGACCUUCGGGCCUCUUGCCAUCGGAUGUGCCCAGAUGGGAUUAGCAGUAGGUGGGGUAACGGCUCACCUAGGCGACGAUCCCUAGCUGGUCUGAGAGGAUGACCAGCCACACUGGAACUGAGACACGGUCCAG